rnacentral:tRNA from 1 species
GCGGUCGUGGCGGAAUUGGUAGACGCGCAACGUUGAGGUCGUUGUGGGGUAACUCCCGUGGAAGUUCGAGUCUUCUCGACCGCACCA